rnacentral:rRNA from 1 species
CCUACGGGAGGCUGCAGUGGGGGAUAUUGCACAAUGGGGGAAACCCUGAUGCAGCGACGCCGCGUGGGUGAAGAAGCGCCUCGGCGCGUAAAGCCCUGUCAGCAGGGAAGAAAAUGACGGUACCUGAAGAAGAAGACCCGGCUAACUACGUGCCAGCAGCCGCGGUAAUACGUAGGGGGCCAGCGUUAUCCGGAUUUACUGGGUGUAAAGGGGGCGCAGACGGCGAUGCAAGCCAGGAGUGAAAGCCCGGGGCCCAACCCCGGGACUGCUCUGGGAACUGCGUGGCUAGAGUGCAGGAGGGGCAGGCGGAAUGCCUGGUGUAGCGGUGAAAUGCGUAGAUAUCAGGAGGAACACCGGUGGCGAAGGCGGCCUGCUGGACUGCAACUGACGUUGAGGCCCGAAAGCGUGGGGAGCAAACAGGAUUAGAUACCCUAGUAGUC